rfam:Chloroflexi bacterium 54-19 SCNpilot_cont_500_bf_scaffold_77, whole genome shotgun sequence.
GAGAGCCGAAUACCCUUAACGGGGUAAGUUCGGUUCGGGAGGGGGCUUACAGAAAAGUACCUGUGAAAACAGGCAACUCGCUGGAAGCCUACCUCAC